UACGGGAGGCAGCAGUGGGGAAUAUUGCACAAUGGGCGCAAGCCUGAUGCAGCCAUGCCGCGUGUAUGAAGAAGGGCCUUCGGGUUGUAAAGUACUUUCAGUCGUGAGGAAGGUGUUAAGGUUAAUAACCUUAGCAAUUGACGUUAGCGGCAGAAGAAGCACCGGCUAACUCCGUGCCAGCAGCCGCGGUAAUACGGAGGGUGCGAGCGUUAAUCGGAAUUACUGGGCGUAAAGGGCACGCAGGCGGUUAAUUAAGUUGGAUGUGAAAUCCCCGGGCUUAACCUGGGAAUGGCACUCAAGACUGGUUAGCUAGAGUCUUGUAGAGGGGGUAGAAUUCCAUGUGUAGCGGUGAAAUGCGUAGAGAUGUGGAGGAAUACCGGUGGCGAAGGCGGCCCCUGGGACAAGGACUGACGCUCAUGUGCGAAAGCGUGGGGAGCAAACAGGAUUAGAUACC
rnacentral:rRNA from 1 species